rnacentral:rRNA from 1 species
GACGUAGGGCGUGAGCGUUGUCCGGAUUUAUUGGGCGUAAAGAGCUCGUAGGCGGCUCGUUGCGUCGGCUGUGAAAACCCGCGGCUCAACCGUGGGCUUGCAGCUGAUACGGGCGGGCUGGAGUUCGGUAGGGGAGACUGGAAUUCCUGGUGUAGCGGUGAAAUGCGCAGAUAUCAGGAGGAACACCGGUGGCGAAGGCGGGUCUCUGGGCCGAUACUGACGCUGAGGAGCGAAAGCGUGGGGAGCGAACAGG